UGAUCGGAGUUGCUACAUCACUGUUAACUGGCAGGACUGGAUCUUACGCUGCCGGACGCGUAGUUCCUCAUGCCACGCCCUGACUCGGCCAGGGCAUGAGCAUGAUGCAUAAUCUGCAUUAGUCAACUGGCCAAGAAAUCAGAACAGAGAAAUAGAGACAACCAGCGGCUCUAGGUCUUGACAAUGUUUCUUCAAGCUCCCCUCCUCGGUCAUGAAUUUUCCACGCCGCCAAAUGAUGCCGUGGACUAAGGAGGUGGCUCUCAUGUGUGUCGUGGUUGUUUGAGGUGAUAAUGCAUCGAUAAAGGUAUCCAAUUCAGGCUUGGUUUGAAGGUAGCGACAAUGGUACAGAGAAGACGCGGAGACAAAGUUAUAUACUCAGCAAUCAGCAUAGGAUUCACGGAUCAAUGGCCGUCAGGGCAUCGUGUGAUACGUGUUCACAUAUAUAGGGACCUGCUCGAUCUUGCACUGCCGGACGAGAAGUUACUGAUGCCAGACCGCGAUCUGCAUCCGUCAACUGGCCAGGAAAUCAGGGUAUAUGUGCGUGCAUGUGCAUAUUGAUGUUGAGAUUAAACAAGACAAACCAAGUUAUGGUCUAAACACGUUCACUGCUAGCUAUGAGGCAACACUCCUCUGCAUACGUGCAACCAUACAUUGUCAGUGGUGAUCCUUAGUGCUGCGGGGCUUUGAUGCAGCUGCUGAAACACCAGAGCAAACGAAGGAUUCUGAACAUGAAGGGACGAACAAGGGCGAGUGAUUUCUUUAUUUGGCAUCAUAUUUGAUUGAUUAUUUCCUCACAUGCCGACCGUGAUUUGAUUAAAUUUUCUUCCAAGGUUUAUAAACGGUUGGAUUUGUUUUUCGGGCACAUCAUGCUCUCAUAAGUCCUAAAUGUGAUCAUAUUACUGAAAGGCCACGACAAAGAUACAACCAACUAUUUUCCCAUACUUUCUAUCAACGGUAAUUCUCCCUAAGCUUUCCUGUACUGAUUGGAUUCGGUCUCUUCGUGGGUUUAUCGCCAUAUUUGUCUACUUUUGUGCAAUUCUUCCUAAAAAAUGAUGAAAAGAAAUCUUCGGGGGCUCAGCAGUACCCCACCCCAAUAAAUGCGGGUUAGGAUUUUCAUAUUCUUGCAAGAUUUUCUCAGUUUAUUUCCAUUUCAGUUAGUUGACAAACAUGCAAGCAAACUAUGUACAACAUCGAUAUUGGUAUUGAUUUUCUAGAGAAUUGUGAGCAUGUAUUUUUAAUGAUGAGCAUUACUUUGAAGUUUUUCCUGAUGUUCUUCCUUUACUAAAGUUGACAGGGAAAAUACCAUAACCUGUGUUAAGGUUAAACAAAAGUACAGGUAAGAUCUAUGAUGGUAAUAUUCCUAAUUGCAUAAUCCUUAAUUUUGGCUCUUUAAAUGGCAAACGUAUAUACGUACACACUGGUGAAGCUGAGUUGCAACAAUUUAUAUAUGAUAGGUUAUUGAUUGGGACACAAUUAGAGAUAUUUCAGUCAUGAGCAUUCACAAGAUAUACAUUCAUGGAUGUUAAAAGAAGAGGAAAGAUGGAGAUAACAAAAGAGAAAAUAAGCAAACGGUUAGGAGAAAUUUUGAUCAUGAUAAUGGGAAACAACUAAGAUAAGAGAGUGCGACACAAUUAGAUAUGAGCACGGUAGUUUUAGCAAACCCGGACCAGUAAGAUGGAGACUGAAAUAAGUAUAGUCUUGCCUCUUGAUUGAGAAGAUGUAAACUUCAAGGGAACCUUAUCUCCAGGAUAAUCAGCUAUGUUUUCAAGCCUUUAACCUCUAGGCAGCAUCAUUGUAUAUGUUGUAUGUUCAUUGAAUGUAUGUAGAUUUUUGUUGCUGAGCAGCCAAUUAUGGUAAAUUUAAUCGACCAAAAAACCAAGAAUGUACACUUGGAACAAAAAAAACUUAAUUAUAAAGAAGCUAGGCGCGCAA